rnacentral:misc_RNA from 1 species
AAGUCGUAACAAGGUUUCCGUAGGUGAACCUGCGGAAGGAUCAUUAAAGAAUAUCGAGCUUCACAGCUCUUAUUCUCACCCUUUGUAUAUCAAACUUUGUUGCUUUGGCAGCGCCUUUAGGGCCCGCCAGAGGACCUCAAACCCUGAAUAUUCGUGUCGUCUGAGUACCAUAUAAUAGUUAAAA